rnacentral:rRNA from 1 species
GACGAACGCUGGCGGCGUGCUUAACACAUGCAAGUCGAGCGGUAAGGCACCUUCGGGUGUACACGGGCGGCGAACGGGUGAGUAACACGUGAGUAAUCUGCCCUCCACUUCGGGAUAACCGCCGGAAACGGCGGCUAAUACCGGAUACGACGCACUCUCGCAUGAGAUGUGCGUGGAAAGUCUUCUCGGUGGAGGAUGUGCUCGCGGCCUAUCAGCUUGUUGGUGGGGUAACGGCCCACCAAGGCUUCGACGGGUAGCCGGCCUGAGAGGGUGACCGGCCACACUGGGACUGAGACACGGCCCAGACUCCUACGGGAGGCAGCAGUGGGGAAUAUUGGACAAUGGGCGAAAGCCUGAUCCAGCAACGCCGCGUGAGGGAUGACGGCCUUCGGGUUGUAAACCUCUUUCAGUACCGACGAAGCGCCAAUAACGGUGGUGACGGUAGGUACAGAAGAAGGACCGGCCAACUACGUGCCAGCCGCCGCAGUAAAAC